rnacentral:rRNA from 1 species
AGCUUGCUAGAACCUGUAUACAGGUGCUGCACGGCUGUCGCCAGCUCGUGUCGUGAGAUGUUGGGUUAAGUCCCGCAACGAGCGCAACCCACGUGAUUAGUUACUAACAGUUCGGCUGAGGACUCUAAUCAGACUGCCUUCGUAAGGAGGAGGAAGGUGUGGACGACGUCAAGUCAUCAUGGCCCUUACGGCCAGGGCUACACACGUGCUACAAUGGGGUAUACAGAGAGCCGCAAUACCGCGAGGUGGAGCAAAUCUUAAAAAUAUCUCCCAGUUCGGAUAGUAGUCUGCAACUCGACUACUUGAAGUUGGAAUCGCUAGUAAUCGUAGAUCAGCAAUGCUACGGUGAAUACGUUCCCGGGUCUUGUACUCACCGCCCGUCACACCAUGGGAGUUGAAUUCAUUCGAAGCGGGGAUGCUAAAAUAGCUACCUUCCACAGUGGAUUUAGUAACUAGGGUGAAGUCGUAACAAGGUA